rnacentral:tRNA from 2 species
UCGGGGGUAAUUCAAUUGGCAGAAUGCUCGGCUGUUAACCGAGUCGUUGUGGGUUCGAGUCCCACCCCCCGAG